GAUGAACGCUGGCGGCAUGCCUAAUACAUGCAAGUCGAACGAAGUCUUUAGGAAGCUUGCUUCCAAAAAGACUUAGUGGCGAACGGGUGAGUAACACGUAGAUAACCUACCCAUGUGACUGGGAUAACUGCUGGAAACGGUAGCUAAAACCGGAUAGGUAAUGAAGAGGCAUCUCUUCAUUAUUAAAGGAGCGCAUGCUCUGAACAUGGAUGGAUCUGCGGUGCAUUAGCUAGUUGGUGAGGUAACGGCCCACCAAGGCAACGAUGCAUAGCCGACCUGAGAGGGUGAACGGCCACAUUGGGACUGAGACACGGCCCAAACUCCUACGGGAGGCAGCAGUAGGGAAUUUUCGUCAAUGGAGGAAACUCUGAACGAGCAAUGCCGCGUGAGUGAAGAAGGUUUUCGGAUCGUAAAGCUCUGUUGUAAGAGAAGAACGGCAGAUAGAGGAAAUGCUAUCUGAGUGACGGUAUCUUACCAGAAAGCCACGGC
rnacentral:rRNA from 1 species